GCUGGGUGUAGUGGCGCACGCCUGUAAUCCCAGCAGUUUGGGAGGCUGAGGCAGGGGGAUUGCGAAUUCAAAGCCAGUCUCAGCAAUUUAGUGAGACCCUGUCUCUA
rnacentral:sRNA from 1 species